AAGGGUAAAAAUUAAAGGCCAGUCCAUUUAAAGGGAAAACUGUGCAAUUAAAUGAUAAAUUAGUCUUUCACCUAACAGUAAGGAUCAGCCCAGAAGGAAGAAUGAGGCCAACAGAGAGAACAAAUGGAUUUCCUGGAGGGUGGUUGCCCUCUCUGAUUGGCCUAUGAUUUCUCCGUCCAACCAAACCAACAACCCUCCGAUGGUAUAUUCAUGAAAUUUCCCAACAACCAAAAAAAAAAUCUGUUGCCAUUGAUGUAAUGUUGAUAGCAGUAGUAGAAGUAAUACUCCCUCUGUCUCAAUUUACUUGUCUUGAAAACUAUCCACAAAUUGCUAUACAAAAAGAUCCCAUCUUUCUGAAGAGGCAGUGAUGAUAUUGCUAAUUCUGGGCUGAAAAUCGGGGCACGGAGAAAACCCGAAUCCCGGAUCAUACAACCGGUUAAUUUUGCAGCCAUGGCAUUGUCAUCUUAUCCUCUUUUCCUCAUUUUUACACAGAUCUGAGCCUCAACUUUCGGACAAAGAACCUUAUUUGAUGGAAACCUAGUUCAUUUUUAGCUCGAAAGGAUGAGGCAAUCGGAGAAAAAUUGGGGAUUUUUUCAGGGUGGUUGACCAUCUCUGGUAUGUCAAUGAUUUCUUUUUUGCUCUAAUCAACAGCCCUUUUAGCUUGGAUCAUUGGCACUUAUGCCCCUAUUUUGUGCUGGUCUUUAGGGUCUGUUUGGAAAGCCACCUGGUAAUUGGAAUUCGCGUAAUUACUAGGGCAGUAAUUACACAACCUAGUAAUUACUAAUUUUUGGCCCGAAUUUGAAGGGUCAAACCGUGCAAUUUCUUCUAUUAGCUUUUGUAUGUGAACAAAGUGCACAAAUAGCCGAUUUUAGACCAUUUCCAAGCCCAUUAUGAAGAAUGAGGCCAACAGGGAGAAAAAGGGAAUUUCUUUGGAGGGUGGUUGCCCCCUCUGAUUGGCCUAUGAUUUCUCCGACCAACCAAACCAACAACCCUCUGCAACAGUUGAAACAAGAAACAUUAUUUGUUACACUCACAGAUCUGAAGGUCUCAUUUGUUUUAUUAAUUUUUCUUGUUAAAGUUGUCCAAACAGGCUCUUAUAGAAAAGUUUCAAUCUUUUCUAAAGAGGCAGUGAUGAUAUUGCUAAUCUGAGGCUGAUGUUUGGGGCAUGGAGACUAUUCGACCCGUAUCUUGGCAUGGCAAACCCGGAUGGCUUGUGAUUGAGUCUUCUCUUUCACAUGCAACUGGUUCUUUUGCAGCCAUGGCGUUGUCGCCUUCUCUUUGCCCCAAUUUUGCAGAUCUGAGCCCCAAUUUUUGAAGGGUAAAAGUUAAAGACCAGCCCAUUUGAAGGCAAACCGUGCAAUUAAUUGAUAAAUUAGUCUUUCACACAACAGUGAGGAUCAGCCCAGAAGGAAGAAUGAGGCCAACAGAGAGAAAAAUGGAUUUCUUGGUAGGGUGGUUGCCCUCUCUGAUUGGCCUAUGAUUUCUCCAACCUACCAAACCAACAACCCUCCAUUGAUGUAAUGUCAAUAGCAGUGACAGCAGCAAUACUAAUACUCCCUCCGUUCCAAUUUAAGUGUCCACUAAAUUGCUAUGCAAAAAGAUUCCAUCUUUCUAAAAGAGGCAGUGAUGAUAUUGCUAUUUCUGGGCUGAUUAAUUCGGGGCAUGGAGAAAACCCGACCCGUAUCUUGGCGGGGCAAACCUGGAUCAUCCGACGGGUUCAUUUUGCAGCCAUGGCAUUGUUGUCUUCUCUUUUUCCCCAUUUUACACAGAUCUGAGCCUCAAUUGAUGGAAAUCCAGUUCAUUUUAGCUGAAAAGGAUGAGGCAAUCGGAGAAAAAAUGAGGAUUUUCUCCGGGUGGCUGACCAUCUCUGAGUAUGUCAAUGAUUUCUUCUUUGCUUUAACGAGAAAAUGACAAAAAUGGUCCCUUAUGAUUGAGUGUUGGUUCAAAAUGGUCCCCUUAAGUAUGCACUUAACAGCAGUAGUAGUGCACUGAAAGUUUCCUUUUUUUCGAAAGAGGCAGUGAUGAUAUUGCUAACAUGGGCUGAUGUUUGGGGCAUGGAGACUAUUCGACCCGUAUCUUGGCAUGGCAAACCCAGAUGGCUUGUGAUUGAGUCUUCUCUUUCACAUGCAACUGGUCCUUUUGCAACUAUGACGUUGUCACCUUCUCUUUGCCCCAAUUUUUUAGAUCUGAACCUCAAUUUUUGAAGGGAAAAAUUAAAGACCAGCCCAUUUGAAGGGCAAACCGUGCAAUUAAAUGAUAAAUUAGUCGGCCAUUUGCACAGAUGACCCCUAUCUUUGGGGUGGUCUUUAAUUUUGCCCCUCAAAUAGCUGGUCUUUAAUUUUUUCCCUUUGGCACUUUAAGUAACAAAAAAGUGGCCGAAAAUACCCCUGACAUCUCUAUGACCUAAUUUUCGGACUCUGCUGGCAUCGAACGCAGAAUCUCUGGUUUCUUAGACCAGAGCCUUAUCAUAGAUAAGGAUAGUUUGGCCCACAAAUCAUUAAAUGAGAAGCAGGGGCAAAAACUAAAGACCAGCGAUUUGAGGGACAAAAAUUAAAGACCAGUGCGUUUGAAGGGAAAUCCGCGCAAAAAAAUGUAAAUUAGUCUUUCACUUAACAGUGAGGAUCAGCCCAGAAGGAAGAAUGAGGCCAACAGAGAGAAAAAAUUGGAUUUCUUGGAGGGUGGUUGCCCUCUCUGAUUGGCCUAUGAUUUCUCCCACCAACCAAACCAACAACCCUCCUUUGGUAUACUUCUGAAAUAUCCCCAACAAAAACAAAAACAAAAAAACUGUUGCCAUUGAUGUAAUGUUGAUAGCAGCAGUAACAGUAGUAAUACUACCUCCGUUCCAUUUUAAGUGUCCACUAAAUUGCUAUGCAAAAAAGAUUCCAUCUUUCUAAAGAGCAGUGAUGAUAUUGCUAAAAAGAUUCCAUUUUUCUAAAGAGGCAGUGAUGAUAUUGCUAUUUCUGGGCUGAUUAAUUCGGGGCAUGGAGAAAACCCGACCCGUAUCAUGGCGGGGCAAACCCGUUUUGCAGCCAUGGCGUUGUUGUGUUCUUUUUUCCCCCAUUUUACACAGAUUUGACCCUCAAUUGAUGGAAAUCCAGUUCAUUUUAGCUGAAAAGGAUGAGGCAAUCGGAGAAAAAAUGGGGAUUUUUUCAGGGUGGUUGACCAUCUCCGGUAUGUCAAUGAUUUCUUCUUUGCUUUAACGAGAAAAUGACAAAAAUGGUCCCUUAUGUUUGAGUGUUGGUUCAAAAUAGUCCCUUUAAGUAUGUACUUGACAACAUUAGUAGUGCCUUCCGUUCCAUAUACCUGUGUUGAAAAGGUUCCAUCUGUCGAAAGAGGCAGUGAUGAUUUUGGUAAGAACGUGUUGGGAUUGGCUUACUUUAGGUGCUGUUAAGCCAAAAUAGCAUUUAAGCAUUUUCUGGGCUGAAAUCAGGGCAUGAAGAAAACCCGACUCGUAUCUUGGCGGGGCAAACCCAGAUUAGGCAACCGGUUCGUUUUGCAGCCAUGGAUAAAAAAUGAACAUCAAUAAUGAUCCAUGUAAUAAGUGUUCUCCUCUUUGCCCCAUUUUACACAGACCUGAGCCUCGAUUUCAAAUAAGUCUCUGUGGAUUUUACCCGGGACCUUGUUUGAUGGAAACCCAGUUCAUUUUAGCUCAAAAGACUGAGGCAAUCAGGGAAAAGUGGUGACUUUUUCUGGGUGGUUGACCAUUGACCAUCUCCGGUAUGUCAAUGAUUUCUUCUUUUCUCUAAUCAACAGUUCUUUUAGCUUUUCUAUGUGAGCAAAGUAUACAAAUAGCCGAAUAUGGACCAUUUCCAACGUUAUUCUUGUAUUUCCUGGAUUUCAGGGCUUACAGGUUACAGAGUAAUGGAAGGUCAGCCCAGUAUGAAGAAUGAGGCCUACAGGGGAAAAAAGGGAAUUUCUUUGGAGGGUGGUUGUCCCCUCUGAUUGGCCUAUGAUUUCUCCGACCAACCAAACCAACAACCCUCUGCAACAGUUGAAACAAGCAUUAUUUGUUACACUUACAGACCAGUGCCUUUGAAGGACAAUCCUCGCAAAAAAAUGUAAAUUUGUCUUUCACUUACAGUGAGGAUCAGCCCAGAAGGAAGAAUGAGGCCAACAGAGAGAAAAAAUUGGAUUUCCUGGAGGGUGGUUGCCCUCGCUGAUUGGCCUAUGAUUUCUUCCACCAACCAAACCAACAACCCUCCAUUGGUAUACUUAUGAAAAAAAAAAAAAAAAAUGCUGUUGCCAUUGAUGUAAUCUUGAUAGCUGCAGUAACAGUACUAAUACUCCCUCCGUUCCAAUUUUAGUGUCCCCACUGAAUUGCUAUACAAAAAGAUUCCAUCUUUCUAAAGAAACAGAUGAUAUUGCUACAAAGAUUCCAUCUUUCUAAUGAGGCAGUGAUGAUAUUGCGGAUUCUGGGCUGAAAUUCAGGGCAUGGAGAAAACCUGACUCGUAUCUUGGCGGGGCAGACCCAGAUCAUGCAACCAGUUAGAUUGCAGCCACGGCAUUGUCGCUUCUCUUUGUUUUAUUUUACACAGAUCUGAGCCUCUGCUUCCAAAGAAUCACUGAACAAUAUUUGGGAUCUAUGGCCAAACGCCUAAUUAGUCUUU